rnacentral:misc_RNA from 1 species
AACGCACCUUGCACCCUUUGGUAUUCCGAAGGGUACGCCCGUUUGAGUGUCAUUGUAAUCUCACUACGAUCGACUUUUUGUCUUUUGUAUGUGGACUUGGAUGUUGCCGUGAAUAAACAAACGGCUCGUCUGAAAUGCCUGAGUGUACCCCGCUUUGCGGCGUAUUCGGUGUGAUAAAUCUUCACCGGAGUUGAUCCCUUUAUGGGGUCGCGUCUGUAAUGGUGUGGCUCUAUGCUUCGAACCGUCUCCUAUCGAGACAAAUCUCUGACAAUUUGACCUCAAAUCGGGUGGGACUACCCGCUGAACUUAA